rnacentral:rRNA from 1 species
AGCUCCAGUAGCGUAUAUUAAAGUUGUUGCAGUUAAAAAGCUCGUAGUCGAACCUCGGGCGCGGAGCACGGGCCUGGCACUGCCAGCGCUUGUGCGCCGCGCCUUUCUGCGGGCGAGCCCGCGUGCGCUUAACUGAGUGUGCGGGUAAGCCCGCACUUUUACUGUGAAAAAAUUAGAGUGUUCAAAGCAGGCGCAUGCCGUGAAUACACUAGCAUGGAAUAAUAGAAUAGGACUUGGGUUCUAUUUUGUUGGUUUCUAGGACCGAAGUAAUGAUUAAUAGGGAUAGUUGGGGGCAUUCGUAUUCCACUGUCAGAGGUGAAAUUCUUGGAUUUGUGGAAGACGAACAGCUGCGAAAGCGUCUGCCAAGGAUGUUUUCA